rnacentral:rRNA from 1 species
GACGAACGCUGGCGGCGUGCUUAACACAUGCAAGUCGAACGGAAAGGCCCUGCUUUUGUGGGGUGCUCGAGUGGCGAACGGGUGAGUAACACGUGAGUAACCUGCCCUUGACUUUGGGAUAACUUCAGGAAACUGGGGCUAAUACCGGAUAGGAGCUCCUGCUGCAUGGUGGGGGUUGGAAAGUCUCGGCGGUUGGGGAUGGACUCGCGGCUUAUCAGCUUGUUGGUGGGGUAGUGGCUUACCAAGGCUUUGACGGGUAGCCGGCCUGAGAGGGUGACCGGCCACAUUGGGACUGAGAUACGGCCCAGACUCCUACGGGAGGCAGCAGUGGGGAAUAUUGCACAAUGGGCGGAAGCCUGAUGCAGCAACGCCGCGUGCGGGAUGACGGCCUUCGGGUUGUAAACCGCUUUCGCCUGUGACGAAGCGUGAGUGACGGUAAUGGGUAAAGAAGCACCGGCUAACUACGU